rnacentral:rRNA from 1 species
CCUACGGGGGGCUGCAGUGGGGAAUAUUGGGCAAUGGGGGAAACCCUGACCCAGCAACGCCGCGUGAAGGAAGAAGGCUUUCGGGUUGUAAACUUCUUUGACCAGGGACGAAACAAAUGACGGUACCUGGAAAACAAGCCACGGCUAACUACGUGCCAGCAGCCGCGGUAAUACGUAGGUGGCAAGCGUUGUCCGGAUUUACUGGGUGUAAAGGGCGCGUAGGCGGGAUGGCAAGUCAGAUGUGAAAUGCCGGGGCUUAACCUCGGCACUGCAUUUGAAACUGCUGUUCUUGAGUAUCGGAGAGGCAGGCGGAAUUCCUAGUGUAGCGGUGAAAUGCGUAGAUAUUAGGAGGAACACCAGUGGCGAAGGCGGCCUGCUGGACGACAACUGACGCUGAUGCGCGAAAGCGUGGGGAGCAAACAGGAUUAGAUACCCUAGUAGUC